GAUGAACGCUGGCGGCGUGCCUAAUACAUGCAAGUCGAGCGAACAGAUGAGGAGCUUGCUCCUCUGACGUUAGCGGCGGACGGGUGAGUAACACGUGGAUAACCUACCUAUAAGACUGGGAUAACUUCGGGAAACCGGAGCUAAUACCGGAUAAUAUAUUGAACCGCAGGGUUCAAUAGUUAAAGAGGGUUUUGCUGUCACUUAUAGAUGGAGCUGCGCCGGAUUAGCUAGUUGGUAAGGUAACGGCUUACCAAGGCAACGAUGCGUAGCCGACCUGAGAGGGUGAUCGGCCACACUGGAACUGAGACACGGUCCAGACUCCUACGGGAGGCAGCAGUAGGGAAUCUUCCGCAAUGGGCGAAAGCCUGACGGAGCCACGCCGCGUGAGUGAUGAAGGUCUUCGGAUCGUAAAACUCUGUUAUUAGGGAAGAACAAAUGUGUAAGUAACUCUGCACGUCUUGACGGUACCUAAUCAGAAAGCCACGGCUAACUACGUG
rnacentral:rRNA from 1 species